GAGGCUCCGCGUUUCCCUUCCGGGGCCCCGCCGGCCAUUUUGUGGCGUUAAGCCGCGCGCGCGGGCGGUUCCCCCUCAUUUCCUCGCCGCGGCGGGACCGGACCGGACGGGACGGGGCGGCCGCUCCUGGCACUUCGCUCCGGCCUCGGGCCGCCCCUCGGACCCUGAGGUUUAUUCUCGCCGGCCGCCGCCGCCCCUCAGGGGCUCCAGCCCGCCAUGAGUUACGGCCGCCCGCCGCCCGACGUGGAGGGCAUGACGUCCCUCAAGGUGGACAACCUGACCUACCGCACCUCGCCGGACACCCUGCGGAGGGUCUUCGAGAAGUACGGCCGGGUGGGCGACGUCUACAUCCCGCGGGACCGCUACACCAAGGAGAGCCGCGGCUUCGCCUUCGUGCGCUUCCACGACAAGCGGGACGCGGAGGACGCGAUGGACGCGAUGGACGGGGCGGUGCUGGACGGGCGGGAGCUCCGCGUGCAGAUGGCCCGCUACGGCCGCCCGCCCGACUCGCACCACAGCCGCCGCGGGCCGCCGCCCCGCCGGUACAGCAGCAGCGGCUACGGCCGCCGCAGCCGCAGCCCUAGAAGACGCCGUCGCAGCCGAUCUAGGAGCAGGAGCCGCUCUAGAUCCCGCAGUCGGUCCCGCUACAGCCGAUCCAAAUCCCGGUCUCGCACACGCUCUCGGUCUCGCUCCACCUCCAAGUCCAGGUCUGCCAGGAGAUCCAAGUCAAAGUCCUCGUCUGUCUCCAGAUCCCGGUCCAGGUCAAGAUCCCGGUCCAGAUCUAGAAGCCCUCCCCCUGCUUCAAAGAGGGAAUCCAACUCUAGAUCCAGGUCAAAGAGCCCUCCCAAGUCCCCGGAAGAAGAAGGAGCUGUAUCCUCUUAGGAACAUGGUAAUGUACCUCGGGAUCAGCACAUGUUGCAUGUUACUUUAUUAGAGCACUUAGGUGGGGUGUUGGGUAGUUCUUAGAGCAUUAAUAGCCUGAACCAAGUGAAUCCUAACGGGGCACACUGUUAGUUGUUGGUUUUGGUUUUUUUUUUUCUUGAGCAGUGCUUUUUGGUUAUUGGUUUAGGGAAAUUAUUACUGAAGGGUUUUCUACGGAUUUUUUUUUUUUUAACAGAGAAAAUGUUUUAUUGCGAGAUUAAUGCCUUGGUUUUAUUAAAAUAUUGUAUGAGACGCAACCUAUGAUGAAAAUGACUAUUUCUUACUGUAUUUAUCCAACAUCUGCAUUUUCCCCUUUAAAGCUGCGGUCUCCUGUUUGCUAAAAGAAUAUUGGCCAGUAUUGCAGAUUUUAACUGAUUUGGCUGAUCCUCCAGGGACCAGUUUCUGUGGGCGUGUGUUGGAGCAGAUGCUUCAGCUAAAUGAGAACCCACAUAAAGGACGCCUUUGGGGGGAAAAGAUCGCUUGAGUCUUCAGCCCAUUGGAGAGACCCUGGCCGAGCAACCAGCUGUUGAAAAGGUUAUUUUGUAACAUUUUGUCUAACUUUUUACUUGUUUAAGUUGCGCCUCAAGUGGCAGAUUUUACAUUUUUAUGUGCCAUUUUGUUGCUGUUAUUCAAAUUUCUUGUAAUUUAGUGAAGUGAACGACUACCGAUUUCAUUAUUGGCUUGGAUAUUUGAGGUAAAACUUCGUUUUUGUUUAUAUAGUGCUGACUUCUAUUGGAAAUUAAAACUGAUGGUAACUUGCUGCCUCCAGUUUCAUACUGAGGAAUCAUGCAGCCAUUAUAUACCGAGUAGCUAACUGUCAGAAAGUAUUCUCAAUUUUGUUUUCAUUCCUUAAAUAAAAUUCUACAGAACUUCAAUUUAAAACUUACUGUAAAUGCUUUUUUUUUUUUUUAAGAAAAAACAACUUUGCAUUAAGAUAGUAUCUUCAAAUUCGAAAUUGGUAGAAAUCUUUUCAGGUGACAGUUGAUAUUUGAAAGGAUUGUUUUAUCAGACUCAAUUCUAAUCUCUUCUCUUAUGUAUUUUUGUGCACUAGGCGCAGUUGUGUAGCAGUUGAGUAAUGCUGGUUAGCUGUUAAGGUGGCGUGUUGCAGUGCAGAGUGCUUGGCUGUUUCCUGUUGUCUCCUGAUUGCUCCUGUGUAACGAUGCCUUGUCGUGCAGAAACAAAUGGCUGUCCAGUUAAUUAAAAUGCCUGACAACUGCACUUCCAGUCACCCGGGCCUUGCGUAAAAAAUAUGGAGCAUACAGUGAGCACAUCUAGCUGAUGAUAUACACACCUUAUUAUUUCCAGAAUGGUAAAACUUACCAACCUACAUAUAUGAACUUACAUAUGAGAAAUGUAAUGUUAAAAAAACAAAUGGUUCAUUCCUUUGUAAGUACUGAUUGGUGUAUCUUUUUUGCUUAAGACAUUCUGUACUAUACCCACUGUCUCUGUAGUUAAUAUUAAACAUUUUUCUGUGUUAACUUUUCUCAACUUAAUGUCUUGGGUCAGCUUAUUUUUAGCUUGAAAAGAUUUCUGCAAUUAUACUGUCUAUGUUUAACUUCUAUAUAGUAACUGAAUGCAUUCUACUUCUUAUAAAUUUUAUCCACUGGGGUUGCUUUUGAAUUACUGUGGGCAAACUUAAUUAUUGUGACUAACCCGAUGCUGUGUGGCAAGUGUUGCACACCAGGCUGUGGACACUGACCCAGCCAGGUCCUGGGGUGUUGUGGAAGGUCCACACUGAGCAGUACUAAUUGCAUUGCUGUGUGCUUGCCCAGGCUGCUGCUUGAUGGGGGCUGAUCUUACAGUGAUGAUUUUUCUUGAUUUGGUACCAAAUGAAUUGUAACUUCAACCAUCCUGUGUCCAGGGUCAUUGUAAUGCCUUGUUAAUUUUAUGCAUGUAUGUUAAAUGGGAAUGGAAACAUCUGAACACUGGCAGUAUGGCUUUGUUGAGGAUUAAAAGUACUUUUCUACAAA